UUUCGUCUUUUUCUCGGUCACCAGCCGACAAAGACAAAGUGGGCAGGAAGGAUGACGGCAGCCCUUUCAAAGUAAAUGUCCUCGAAACCAAAGGACUGGAGCACGGAGACGGAUUCUACGCCGGAAUGCCUGACAGCUGCGGCGACUCGCACUCUGGGUUCUGUCUUCACGGACGCUGUGAAAUCCACCGCAACAUGCCCGUCUGCAGGUGCGAUUCGGGGUACAAAGGCGUCCGCUGCAACGAGCUUCAGGACUUCAACGUGC